GUGCUAGCUUUGGCUACACAUAUAAUAAAAUUGGAAGGAUACAGAGAAUAUUGGCAUAGUCCCAGUAUAUGGAUGACGUGCAAAUUCAUGAAGCAUUCCAUAUUUAA